rnacentral:rRNA from 1 species
UACGUAGGGUGCGAGCGUUGUCCGGAAUUAUUGGGCGUAAAGAGCUCGUAGGCGGUUUGUCGCGUCGGCCGUGAAAACUUGGGGCUUAACCCCAAGCCUGCGGUCGAUACGGGCAGACUUGAGUUCGGCAGGGGAGACUGGAAUUCCUGGUGUAGCGGUGAAAUGCGCAGAUAUCAGGAGGAACACCGGUGGCGAAGGCGGGUCUCUGGGCCGUAACUGACGCUGAGGAGCGAAAGCAUGGGGAGCGAACAGG